rnacentral:antisense_RNA from 1 species
CUUGAACGAGCCGAUCACCAGGGGCCGUCCGUGCGGGCGCUGCUGCCCGUAGGUGGCGAUCAGCGCCUGGGCCUC